rnacentral:rRNA from 1 species
UACGUAGGGCGCAAGCGUUAUCCGGAAUUAUUGGGCGUAAAGAGCUCGUAGGUGGUUUGUUACGUCUGCUGUGAAAACCUAGGGCUUAACCCUGGGCUUGCAGUGGAUACGGGCAGACUAGAGGUAGGUAGGGGAGAAUGGAAUUCCUGGUGUAGCGGUGAAAUGCGCAGAUAUCAGGAGGAACACCGGUGGCGAAGGCGGUUCUCUGGGCCUUACCUGACACUGAGGAGCGAAAGCGUGGGGAGCGAACAGG